CAGCAGCCGCGGGAAUACGUAGGUGGCAAGCGUUGUCCGGAUUUAUUGGGCGUAAAGCGAGCGCAGGCGGUUAGAUAAGUCUGAAGUUAAAGGCUGUGGCUUAACCAUAGUACGCUUUGGAAACUGUUUAACUUGAGUGCAAGAGGGGAGAGUGGGAUUCCAUGUGUAGCGGUGAAAUGCGUAGAUAUAUGGAGGAACACCGGUGGCGAAAGCGGCUCUCUGGCUUGUAACUGACGCUGAGGCUCGAAAGCGUGGGGAGCAAACAGGAUUAGAUACCCCAGUAGUCCCUGUCUCUUAUACA
rnacentral:rRNA from 1 species